ACUGGACUCACUCUGGUUUUCAUUUGAAGCCUCAGAAAACGACGGAGCAGGAGCAGCAGGAGCCGCAGCAGCAGGAGAACCAGAGGAGUUGUUAAAGAGCAGCUGAAGGUCAGAGGAGAAACCCCCGUGAGACCUUCCAGACCAGAAAUAGACUCAACCACAGCAAGGACACGGCUGCAGACUGGGACCAGGACCACCAGGACCACCAGGACCACCAGGACCACCAGGACCACCUGCACCACCAGGACCACCAGGACCACCAGGACAGAGGAACAAGGACACGGACCAGAGGGGACGGACGGAGAGACGGACGGA